rnacentral:rRNA from 1 species
AUGCCGUCGUCCUCCUCCUCCUCCUCGGUCCAACGCGCGACGAGCGACGCGCUCAUCGGCCCCGACUGGGCGACCAACCUCGAGAUCUGCGACACCCUCAACCGCGAUCCAGGCCAAACAAAAGAUGUUGUCAAGUCUCUCAAGAAGCGCAUUGCUCACAAGAACUCAAAGGUCCAGCUUCUCGCUCUCACGUUGUUGGAGACAAUGAUUAAAAAUUGUGGGGACAUUGUCCAUAUGCAUGUUGCUGAGAGAGACAUACUUCGUGAAAUGGUGAAGAUAGUAAAGAAAAGGCCUGAUUAUCAUGUAAAAGAGAAGAUUCUCACGCUGAUCGACACUUGGCAAGAAUUUUUUGGCGGCGCACGUUCAAAAUAUCCGCAAUACUAUGCAUCAUACCAGGACCUUUUGCGUGCCGGAGCUGUAUUUCCUCAAAGAUCAAAUGGAUCUGUGCCAAUAUUUACUCCUGCGCAGACUCAGCCUCUACAAAACUAUCCUCCUGCUCUACGCGAUGCUGACCACGAGGCUCCUGAAUCGUCAGCGCAGGAUUUUCCUGCCACAAGCCUGGCAGAUAUUCAGAAUGCACGGGGUAUCAUGGACGUUCUUUCGGAGAUGUUGAAUGCUUUAGAUCCUAGUAAAAGACAGGAACUUCGUCAGGAUGUCAUCGUUGACCUUGUGGAUCAGUGCCGUACAUACAAGCAGAGAGUCGUGCAGCUUGUCAACAGUACCUCGGACGAGGGGUUGCUCAGCCAGGGUCUUUGUUUGAAUGAUGAUCUGCAGCGUGUUUUAGCAAAACACGACGCUAUUGCUGCAGGCAUAGCGGUUCCGGUGGAGAAGCAGAGAUCGCUCCAUUCCACGCUAGCGAAGCCAGAUACUACAAAAGAAGCAGUUCAAAGGUCUUCAGCAACUACUUCAAGUGCAAGCAAGCAGUCACCCUCAGAACAAUUGGCGCUUCCCGCGCCGGCACCUCGAUCAUCUAGCAGUGCAAAAGCUAUUGUUGCAGCACCAGCUCCUAGUUUCGACCUCCUUAGUGGAGAUGACUACAUCAAACCUGAACCUGAAAACUCGCUGGCGCUUGUUCCUGUCAGUGAAUACUCAGCUUCAGACCAGAAUGUAUUGGCCCUUGCAGACAUGUUCCAACAAAAUAGUGUUGCUGCCAACAAUAGAAACCAUAACCAGCUUACAAACUCUUUUGUUUCCCCUGCAUCUCGAGCAAACCCUGCUCCAGUGCACCCUACUCUGCCUCAGCAACCCACUACUUAUUCAAACGGGGACAUCGUACCUUACGGUCAACAAUCUCAACCGAACGUCACAAGGUCAUGGAAUGGGCAGCCUGCUUAUGGAGUGGAUUCUCAACGGCAAGCACUAAAUUAUGGUGUAGAGGAUCAGAACAGAGGCCUUCCACCACCACCCUGGGAAAUUCAGCACUUGACGGGUAACCAACCCCAACAAGCACAAAGUGGUCAAGGAUUCAUGUCAACACAACAAAUGCCAGGAGGUAUGCGCUUGCCACCGGUGCUCGGCGCGCAGCAAGCACCACAGUUUGUGCCGAACAUGCAAUACGGGGGCAUGUACCCGAAUUCGAUGCAAAUCAACCAAGGAAUGGGCAUGAACUCCCAACCGAUUGUCGGCGGACAGUUUUAUGGGAUGAACUAUCAACAGUCAUAUGCAGUUCAAAUGGCCGGUUAUGGGUAUGUGCACCAAUCUGGAGGCUACUACAUCCCGAACGCCGCAUAUGCGUAUACCAGUGCAAAUGAACUUUCUCAGAGAAUGAAUGGUGCAACGUCAUCCUUUUCUCUGAAGCAGCAGAAUAAAGCAAGCAGGCCAGAAGACUCGCUCUUUGGCGAUCUUCUUAGCAUAGCCAAAAUGAAGCAGAGCAAACCUGCAGCUGGUAAGGUCGGUGGCUUGUAA